rnacentral:rRNA from 1 species
GACGAACGCUGGCGGCGUGCUUAACACAUGCAAGUCGAACGAAGUGGCGAACGGGUGAGUAACGCGUAAUCAACCUGCUCUUCAGCGGGGGACAACAGUUGGAAACGACUGCUAAUACCGCAUAUUGAUGGAGGGGCUUGCGUCUGAUUAGCUAGUUGGAGGGGUAACGGCCCACCAAGGCGAUGAUCAGUAGCCGGUCUGGGAGGAGGGACGGCCACAUUGGGAAUGGGAAACGGCCCAGACUCCUACGGGAGGCAGCAGUGGGGAAACUUUCGCAAUGGAAGAAAGUCUGACGGAGCAACGCCGCGUGAGUGAUGACGGGCUUCGGGUUGUAAAGCUCUGUUAAUCGGGACGCGGUACCGGAAUAGAAAGCCACGGCUAACUACGUGCCAGCAGCCGCGGUAAUUC